AACGAACGCUGGCGGCAUGGAUUAGGCAUGCAAGUCGAACGAGGUAGCAAUACCUAGUGGCGGAAGGGUGAGGAACGCGUGAGUAAUCCUGCCCCUAAGUUGGGAAUAACAGUUGGAAACGACUGCUAAUACCGAAUGUGGCUUGAAGAUCGCAUGAUCUUCUGGUUAAAGAUUUAUUGCUUAGGGAUGAGCUCGCGUCCCAUUAGUUAGUUGGUGAGGUAAUGGCUCACCAAGGCGAUGAUGGGUAGCUGGUCUGAGAGGAUGGUCAGCCACACUGGGACUGAGACACUGCCCAGACUCCUACGGGAGGCUGCAGUGAGGAAUA
rnacentral:rRNA from 1 species